rnacentral:rRNA from 1 species
GAUGAACGCUGGCGGCGUGCCUAAUACAUGCAAGUCGAGCGAACAGACGAGGAGCUUGCUCCUCUGACGUUAGCGGCGGACGGGUGAGUAACACGUGGAUAACCUACCUAUAAGACUGGGAUAACUUCGGGAAACCGGAGCUAAUACCGGAUAAUAUAUUGAACCGCAUGGUUCAAUAGUGAAAGACGGUUUUGCUGUCAAUUAUAGAUGGAUCUGCGCCGCAUUAGCUAGUUGGUAAGGUAACGGCUUACCAAGGCGACGAUGCGUAGCCGACAUGGGAGGGUGAUCGGCCACACUGGAACUGGGACACGGUCCAGACGCCUCCGGGAGGCACCAGUAGGGAAUCUUCCGCAAUGGGCGAAAGCCUUACGGAGCAACGCCGCGUGAGUGAUGAAGGUCUUCGGAUCGUAAAACUCUGUUAUUAGGGAAGAACAAAUUUGUAAGUAACUAUGCACGUCUUGACGGUACCUAAUCAGAAAGCCACGGCUAACUACGUG